GUUGGAUAUAACUAAUGGUUCAAGUAGAGAUUCCAUACAAAUCCAAGGUAGGAACGAGUAUCUAAGAUGCAUCUAACUUUGAUCUGUCAAUUGUUUCACAGCUGUUGAUAUGAAGAACGAUUCACGGAAAUGGAAUUUGGGAUAAACGAGGCAGCUCCAAUCUACCAUGACCCUUCAGCACCAGAAGUCGGAUUCUCGAAAGCAGAGUAGUUCCAGAAUGUUUUCAAAGAGUAGGGUUGGGAGAUUGUAACACCUUCCUCAGUUAUUUUUGCAAUCUGGAGCUUGUUGACAGCAGACCUAUCACGGUACAAGAGUACCCUCAUGCAUUUCUCCAGCAAUUUCACACCUUCUUCAAAAGUCAGGUUCUCGUGCCACUCAUCACGAAGUAUUGGCCGUGCAAGGUGAUUGCCAAAACCAGUAGUAACAUGGUCAUCUUCAAAAGUUACACCUAUCAUAUUAACCGUGCCAAGAUACUUUUGCCCAUUCUUCACCCCACCUAGAACAAGUGAGUUCCAAAGUGGGUUGAACUUGUUUCGCCUGUUAUACAUCACUCGAGUUAAGUAGCUAUGGAUCUCCUUUGGCCCCAAAGCAUUACCAUCAUCCCACAUGUUAUCAUACAAGAUGAGCUCGUCAAGAUUUCGCAAUAACUCCUGAAAGUCACUAAUUUCACCACUAGCACCAAGUAGAGAAUGUUUUCCAAUGGAUUUGAUUCGCUCCACACUCUUAUACCGCAGUGUAGAACCAUAGGAGCCUCCCAAAUCAGCAACCAUUAAAAUCCCAUCUUUGUAUUUGAUGGCAACCACGGAUGUACCAGUCACAUAGGGAUACUGAGUUCUUUGAAUUGGAGCUUCCGGGCAGAGAAGAUCGUUCGCCUGGUUGGAAUCAGCGGGACUCAUAUUCGGA
rnacentral:misc_RNA from 1 species